AUCUUUCAGGUGUGAAUAUGAAGCCAGCGACAAUUACACCGAUUGUUGUCCUUAGCAGACUUUUUCAAACUGUAAAGAGAAAUUCCGAUAAAUCUACUCCAGGGUGUUGAAUUGCUGCAUGUGAUUGGCUCACCACUUGACGCACUCACUGCAGCAUUUUGAUUGGCUGCUGCUCUAUAAUUGGAUGCAUGUCCGUACAGCAUUGCGGCUCAAAGCAUGGUGUGCGGUGUGUGUUGAAGUGUGUCCCUUCUUACAACUAAAACACUGACCGCCCCCCCCAGAUCAUUUUGGAUCUCCCAGUGUCAUGGUGCAGCCCACAUAAGCAGCCAAACCCUGCACAGAACUGAGGACACGUCCAACGUCAACUACAUCCCUCCGCCACAAGAACACCAGGAUUUCAAACACACCCAGUCAUUCAUGCUUUGAGAAGCUGGCCUUCCUUCCAGGUCAUAUCUCCCUCGUGAUAUGGUGCCAACACUGGAUUUUAGUUUUUCCUCCACACCAGAGGAGACUUGAUCUUCAGACAAUUCUUAAUUUCAGUCUUACUUGGGUGGUUAAUAAAUGGGAGGCCUCUCGUUCUCUUGCUUUGCUGUUCAUUAUGUGGCACUGACCCCCCCCCCCCCCCCCCCAGUGGUGAGAGGUGGAAAUGGGGGACUGGUGAAUAUUGCUUUCUUUUUUCCCCCUCUGCAGGCCAAUCAUGUUCUUUUACCAAAGACUGCCACUAUAAGGGACGUAAUAAUUAUAAGGGA